rnacentral:rRNA from 1 species
CGGGGUGCAGCAGGCGCGAAAACUUUACAAUGCCGGCAACGGCGAUAAGGGAACCUCGAGUGCCAGGUUACAAAUCUGGCUGUCGUGAUGCCUAAAAAGCAUUGCAUAGCAAGGGCCGGGCAAGACCGGUGCCAGCCGCCGCGGUAACACCGGCGGCUCGAGUGGUAACCGUUAUUAUUGGGUCUAAAGGGUCUGUAGCCGGCCGGGUAAGUCUCUUGGGAAAUCUGGCAGCUUAACUGUCAGGCUUUCAGGAGAUACUGCCUGGCUCGAGGCCGGGAGAGGUGAGAGGUACUUCAGGGGUAGGGGUGAAAUCUUGUAAUCCUUGAAGGACCACCAGUGGCGAAGGCGUCUCACCAGAACGGACCUGACGGCAAGGGACGAAAGCUAGGGGCACGAACCGGAUUAGAUACCCGGGUAGUCCUAGCCGUAAACGAUACUCGCUAGGUGUCGGCCACGGUGCGACCGUGGUCGGUGCCGUAGGGAAGCCGUGAAGCGAGCCACCUGGGAAGUACGGCCGCAAGGCUGAAACUUAAAGGAAUUGGCGGGGGAGCACAAGGGCGAAUGC